rnacentral:rRNA from 1 species
CCUACGGGGUGCAGCAGUGGGGAAUAUUGCACAAUGGGGGAAACCCUGAUGCAGCAACGCCGCGUGAGUGAAGAAGUAUUUCGGUAUGUAAAGCUCUAUCAGCAGGGAAGUGAAUGACGGUACCUGACUAUGAAGCCCCGGCUAACUACGUGCCAGCAGCCGCGGUAAUACGUAGGGGGCAAGCGUUAUCCGGAUUUACUGGGUGUAAAGGGAGCGUAGACGGCUGGCCAAGUCUGAAGUGAAAGCCCGGGGCUUAACCCCGGAACGGCUUUGGAAACUGGCCGGCUGGAGUGCUGGCGAGGCAGGCGGAAUUCGUGGUGUAGCGGUGAAAUGCGUAGAUAUCACGAAGAACACCGAUGGCGAAGGCAGCCUGCUAAACAGUAACUGACGUUGAGGCUCGAAAGCGUGGGGAGCAAACAGGAUUAGAUACCCCAGUAGUC